UAACACGUGGGUAACCUACCUAUAAGACUGGGAUAACUUCGGGAAACCGGAGCUAAUACCGGAUAAUAUUUCGAACCGCAUGGUUCGAUAGUGAAAGAUGGUUUUGCUAUCACUUAUAGAUGGACCCGCGCCGUAUUAGCUAGUUGGUAAGGUAACGGCUUACCAAGGCGACGAUACGUAGCCGACCUGAGAGGGUGAUCGGCCACACUGGAACUGAGACACGGUCCAGACUCCUACGGGAGGCAGCAGUAGGGAAUCUUCCGCAAUGGGCGAAAGCCUGACGGAGCAACGCCGCGUGAGUGAUGAAGGUCUUCGGAUCGUAAAACUCUGUUAUUAGGGAAGAACAUACGUGUAAGUAACUAUGCACGUCUUGACGGUACCUAAUCAGAAAGCCACGGCUAACUACGUGCCAGCAGCCGCGGUAAUACGUAGGUGGCAAGCGUUAUCCGGAAUUAUUGGGCGUAAAGCGCGCGUAGGCGGUUUUUUAAGUCUGAUGUGAAAGC
rnacentral:rRNA from 1 species